rnacentral:rRNA from 1 species
UUGAGAGGCAUCUCUUAAAUAUCAAAGGUGAGCCAGUACAGGAUGGACCCGCGUCUGAUUAGCUAGUUGGUAAGGUAACGGCUUACCAAGGCGACGAUCAGUAGCCGACCUGAGAGGGUGAUCGGCCACAUUGGAACUGAGACACGGUCCAACCUCCUACGGGAGGCAGCAGUGGGGAAUAUUGCACAAUGGGCGAAAGCCUGAUGCAGCAACGCCGCGUGAGUGAUGAAGGCCUGGGUCGUAAAACUCUGUCCUCAAGGAAGAUAAUGACGGUACUU